GAUUUCGAUCGUGGUGAUUUGGCCGGCCGGCUUGCAGCCACGUUAAACAAGUCGCUAAAUGGGCCGUCGCACAUCCGGA
rnacentral:ncRNA from 2 species